rnacentral:lncRNA from 1 species
GCCGCUCACACACAGAUUUCUCUCUUCCUCUCGGCUCACCUCUCAGACGGAAUCAGUCUGUCUCCUCCUCCCUUCGACGUCGGCCUAUGCGACCAGCCGCCGGCUGCCACCACCCUCGUUUUCCCCUACAACAUCCUCCCUCUCCCGGCGACCCUAUAACACCCCUACCACUCCCUCUUUCUCUCUCCGUCCGUGGCCGGGCAACAGCGGCCCCUCUACCUCGCUGCUCUCCCUCUUCUCAGCACACCUCGGUCGCCGGACAGCAGUGGCGCCAAGCCACCGCCUCCGCUUCAUUUCUCUCCCUUCAUCUCUCUGGCUUCGACGGACAGCAGCUGCUAGGCCGCCGCCCCCGAGCUCUGACCCAACCAACAGAUAUAAACACACCACUCUCUUGCUCCUAAUCUCGAUGGCUUUAUAUGUGAAAUCAGUAAAUGGCAUGUGGAAGAAAUUUCAGCGUGAUGUAUUAAUCAUAAUUAAGUGGAAAUUCAAGUGGAUACCUUGGUGGGUGCUCUGCACAUGAAUUCUGCUUGCUAGGAAGAAUUUGGUGAACUGAGGUUGAGAGAGGGGAUGCUAAAAUGAAAUAGCCGUGGUAGAACUUGAAUAGGAAGAGGAGUGAGGAUUUGAUUGCCUGCCUCAAGCAUGGCUUAAAGUCGAAGGUAUGGGCUGCUUGGCAGGUGUGAGUGUACAUGAGAGAGUGGAUUGAACUAUGAGACAGUAAUAAUGUUCUCAGGGUGGGUUUGCUAAAUAAUUAGCUCGUGUGUAAAUGUUUAAAUGCUCAAUAAUUAGCUCGUGUGUAAAUGUUUAAAUGCUCAAUUUAAAUAAAUAUGUAAUUCAUAAGAAUUUAAAUAAAUAAGUUUUACAAAAGGUUUUGCAAAUUAUUGUUGUAAUUAAAAUAAAUUUAUUUAUUUUUAUUUGGGUUAAUUACGCCAAAAACCAUGAACUAUACCUCCAUUUUCAAAUUUACCAUGAACUUUGUUUUUUAUUGAGCAAUUCCAUGUCAUUGCCGGUGAUGCCAUGUUAGCAUUCAAUUUGGGGAUUUUUGAAAGUCAUGGAAAAAUUGAUCAACCCUUUAAAUUCAUGGAAUUGCUGAUAAAAAACAAAGUUCAUGGUAAAUUUGGAAAUGGAGGUAUAGUUCAUGGUUUUUGGCGUAAUUAACCCUUUUUAUUUCGACGUGAAUCAUAAAAUUACUCUCAACAGGACACGGGGUUUUCUCCUUACUUUUUCAUUCUUGCACUAGUGCCCACAUUAUGUGGGUUUCUCCUUACUUUUUCAUUCUAUCCUUACUUUUUCAUUCUAUCCUUACUUUUUCAUUCUUGCACUAGUGCCCACAUUUAUGAUAAUUAUAAUACUUUACCGUACCUAGACUGUGGGUUUCUCCUCCCUCAACAACUUGUGUACUCAUUUUAAUUUUUUCAUUGGUUUUGACUAAACCUACUCGUCCUCGAUCACAUCCAAGCCUUUGGCCUCUACCUUGAUCUUAUCCUUGGCCACGUUCUCUCCCGGAUUGUCCACAACUAUUGCUCAUGCCUUCUUAUCUAUCUUUUGGGCUUAAUUGUAUUUUCAAAAGUUGCUAUGUAUUUUUUUUUAUCCUCGUAUGCUUGUAACGACCCCAACAAGAGAUCGAUUACCAUCUCCUUCAUAUUUUUAGUUUCUUCAAUUAUUAUCAUUAUAUGUUCAAAUCUUUGAGUGAGUAAGUGAAAUAUUUUCUCGAUAAUUUUAACAUACUCCAAUUUUUCACCCUUUUUUUUAUUUGAUUUGAAACCGUCAAAACUCUUGAAAAAGAAUCUGAAAAUCGAUUCAGACUAUUUCAUGUGUAACGACUCAAAUUCUUCUCUUAAAGUUUGGAGUCAUACCUUUUUAACUUGAUCGGCUCAUUUGUACGAGUUCUGAAGCUUCUCCCACUUNCCGCCAUUCUCCAGCGGCGCCCCUUCUCGCCCGCCUCGCCCUUCUCGCCCGUCGUCGUCCUGCAGCGCCGCGCCGCCUUCGAGCUCCAACACCAGUUCUUCUUCUUCUUCUUCUUCUUCUUCUUUAAUACAAAUUUCCUAUGUCAAUGACUCAAUGUUGAAUAAUUGAAUUUGCUGCUUUGAAUAAUUGAAUUUGGUCCUUGAAUUUCACUAUGGCAAUGUUGAAUUUCGCUUGAAUUUGCUGAUUUGAAUUUGCUGAUUUGAAUUUUGGGUAAUUUAGGGUACCCGAAUACCCGACUCGGGUACCCGAGUCAGGUAUUAGGGUACCCGAUUUCAAUUUCGGGGUCGGGAUCGGGUAUAGGGUUUAGGGGAUUUUCGGGUUGAGGUACCCAAUUUUUUCGGGUAGGGUACCCGAACCCGACCCGAUUCCCAGCCCUAGCCGCUCACACACAGAUUUCUCUCUUCCUCUCGGCUCACCUCUCAGACGGAAUCAGUCUGUCUCCUCCUCCCUUCGACGUCGGCCUAUGCGACCAGCCGCCGGCUGCCACCACCCUCGUUUUCCCCUACAACAUCCUCCCUCUCCCGGCGACCCUAUAACACCCCUACCACUCCCUCUUUCUCUCUCCGUCCGUGGCCGGGCAACAGCGGCCCCUCUACCUCGCUGCUCUCCCUCUUCUCAGCACACCUCGGUCGCCGGACAGCAGUGGCGCCAAGCCACCGCCUCCGCUUCAUUUCUCUCCCUUCAUCUCUCUGGCUUCGACGGACAGCAGCUGCUAGGCCGCGCCCCCGACGCUCUGACCCAACCAACAGAUAUAAACACACCACUCUCUUGCUCCUAAUCUCGAUGGCUUUAUAUGUGAAAUCAGUAAAUGGCAUGUGAAGAAAUUUCAGCGUGAUGUAUUAAUCAUAAUUAAGUGGAAAUUCAAGUGGAUACCUUGGUGGGUGCUCUGCACAUGAAUUCUGCUUGCUAGGAAGAAUUUGGUGAACUGAGGUUGAGAGAGGGGAUGCUAAAAUGAAAUAGCCGUGGUAGAACUUGAAUAGGAAGAGGAGUGAGGAUUUGAUUGCCUGCCUCAAGCAUGGCUUAAAGUCGAAGGUAUGGGCUGCUUGGCAGGUGUGAGUGUACAUGAGAG